rnacentral:lncRNA from 1 species
CGAACCGCUAUCAAACCGGUGACGUCAUAAAUAUAUAUUUUAUUAUUUUAUAUAAUAUAAAAAUUAAAAAAUUAAUAAAUUCUAUGUAAAUUUUGAUAGCAUCUACUUUGUUUAUUGAGUAACUUGAGUUUUGUCACAAAAUUUUUUACCUGUAGAAGUCAUCAAUUAUCAUAUAUGAUAUUUAUAACACAAUAUAAGAUGUUAUACAUUCAUAAUGUCAAUAAACUCAAUAUUUAUCAAAUAAUCAAACCAUUACUAUCC